AUAAUUUUACCCCAGGCAGGGACAGUGCCCAGAGCUCUGAUGUGUCUCUCCCAGACUUUAAAGCGUGAAGACAGCUGCCUGGUGUGGAUGGACUGACAGACGAUGUGUUCAGGUCUCUCCUGUGACAUCCAGAGCAACUCAGUUUACUGUCAGCAAUAGUGUCUGAUGUUCCCUGUGAUCCUAUGGGCUCAGUGUGAAGAACUGGGGAGCCCAGCCCACCCUGCACACCAGGACCCUGUCCCUGCACUGCCCUGUUCUCUUCCACAGCCAACAUUCCUGUUCCUGCAGACAGGAUGGGACAUCUCCAUCCUGUCUCCUCCAUGCUGUCCUGAGCUGCAGCCCCUGACUUCCCCACUGAAAAUAAUAA